rnacentral:rRNA from 1 species
UACGGAGGGUGCAAGCGUUAAUCGGAAUUACUGGGCGUAAAGCGCACGCAGGCGGUUGAUUGAGUCAGAUGUGAAAUCCCCGGGCUUAACCCGGGAACUGCAUUUGAAACUGGCAAGCUAGAGUCUCGUAGAGGGGGGUAGAAUUCCAGGUGUAGCGGUGAAAUGCGUAGAGAUCUGGAGGAAUACCGGUGGCGAAGGCGGCCCCCUGGACGAAGACUGACGCUCAGGUGCGAAAGCGUGGGGAGCAAACAGG